GUGCUCGCUUCAGCAGCACAUAUACUAAAAUUGGAACCAUACAGAGAAUAUUAGGAUGGCCCCUGCGCAAGGAUGACACACAAAUUUGUGAAGCAUUCCAUAUUUUU
ensembl:snRNA U6 U6 spliceosomal RNA